rnacentral:tRNA from 1 species
AAAGGUAUAGUUCAAUGGUAGAGCUUCAUGCUAGGAUGCAUGACGUCCUGGGUUCAAUUCCCAGUACCUCUG